GGAAUCUUCCACAAUGGACGAAAGUCUGAUGGAGCAAUGCCGCGUGAGUGAAGAAGGGUUUCGGCUCGUAAAACUCUGUUGUUAAAGAAGAACACCUUUGAGAGUAACUGUUCAAGGGUUGACGGUAUUUAACCAGAAAGCCACGGCUAACUACGUGCCAGCAGCCGCGGUAAUACGUAGGUGGCAAGCGUUGUCCGGAUUUAUUGGGCGUAAAGCGAGCGCAGGCGGUUUUUUAAGUCUGAUGUGAAAGCCUUCGGCUUAACCGGAGAAGUGCAUCGGAAACUGGGAGACUUGAGUGCAGAAGAGGACAGUGGAACUCCAUGUGUAGCGGUGGAAUGCGUAGAUAUAUGGAAGAACACCAGUGGCGAAGGCGGCUGUCUAGUCUGUAACUGACGCUGAGGCUCGAAAGCAUGGGUAGCGAACA
rnacentral:rRNA from 1 species